UCCCGUCCCCGUCUCCCCCACCCCCCACCCCCCACCACCACACACGCACACACCGGAAUCCUCCUAAAUCGCCAGUCUUCGCACCUGCCGGCGGAACCCUAGGUCCGGAGCUACUGCCAGAUCAGGACGGCUGAAUCGGCGGCUCCUUCCCUGGCGCCGCGCUUCGGAGGCUUGCGCCGCUCGGCGCGUCCCCCGCCAGCAUCUUUCCUCCGUCUACACCUUCAGGAUUUGCGCCGCGCCGGCCCGAGGGCUUUGGAGGCUUGCUGUUGCCGCCCUCCUCUUCACCGCCGUGCGUGCACAUGAGUCCGAUAUGCUUGGUCAAUUUUAGUGCAGCUGCCCCCUGUUAAUUCCAUUUUCAGGAGUCCGAUAUCCAGAAGGCAUCGAGCACUCUAUGCAAGCAUUCAAUCUCGCUGCUCUACCAACUUCGCCUGAACACCGACUGCCAAUGCUCCAUAUACCGUCAUACAAUCUUGCCAUUCUACCUCCUUCGCCGGAACACCGACCGCCGCUCCAUCUGAGUUACAAAUUGAAUUCAACAUGCCAGUUGAGGAAGCUGCUGAGCUAGCAUGGCAGGCUAUUUUAUCAUGCAACAUUCCUUAACGGAGCUAGUGAUGGUUCGUGAGCUGACUCAGCAAUUUCCUGCGACUUUGCCCCUUGCCUUAGUUAUGAAGAAGUUUUUGGCAGAUCGUAGUUUGGACCACCCAUAUUCGGGUGGUCUAAGCUCUUACUGUUUGGUGUUGUUAACCACUCAUUUUCUUCAGCAUCAACAUCUUGGCCGGCCUAUUUACCAAAAUCUAGGGAGCCUUUUGAUGGAUUUCCUGUAAUUAUUUUGGGAAUGUAUUUGAUUCACGACAUAAGCGUAUUUCCAUCCAAGGAAGAGGAAUUUGUUUGAACCGAGAAAGAGGGCACAGGUAAUAAAAGUCGAUGUCAGUAAUACAUUGUUUCUUUCUGUCACCUUCUGUCUAUGGUAUUUUUCCAUACUGUUGAUUUUGCAGCAUUGAUCCAAUUCACAUCGACGAUCCUCUUUGCCCUGCUAACAAUGUGGGACGGAAUUGUUUCCGGGUCCACCAGUGCAUCAGAGUUGGCUCAAAUUAUCUUUUCUGGACUGGUUGAAUCCUUCUGUUGUUGUCUAGAGCUUUUGGAGUUGUGGCAAUGCUGUGAUUAUGCUCUUUUAUAUGGUAAUUUGUUUGACCGGACAAUCUUGGUAUUGAAAUUUAGUCUUUGUGCGGUACUAGUACCAAUGCAUUCUUUGUUAGGCCUUUGAAGAUAUAAAUAUUCGUCUGGCAAAUCACGGAUCAGCAAGUGUUACUGGUAUUUUCUGAUGCUUUUCAUGGCAGGCUUUCGCUGUUCUAGAGAACGAGCUACUGCAGUUCACUGCAGAAUAUAACAUGCCCGCAUCAUCAUUCAGCCUGCUGAAGAAAAUAAUUCCAAGCAUUGAUUCCAAUGAGUUGUACCAGUAAAAAGAACCUAUGAUUCCACGAGUUGCAGGAACUGUUGGGUUGGAAUGGCCUCCUCUGUGUUCUAGACACUGAGUUACUACUGCAGCUGGUGGAAAAGGAGGCUUGUUCUAAUGUAUGAUGCCAGCUGCCCUCCUCUCGCCUCUGGCUGCUGAGAACCCGAGACUGUUAAUUGAUGUUUUAGGCUUGAACUGGACGAUUCGAAAGCUAGAUGGGGGGUGCACUCUGCAUACAUAAGGUUAGCCAAGAGAGGGUGGCCAAAUUGUGGUCUGUGUUUACUUUGCAAGAGGGUGCAAGAAAGCGGGUCACACCUAUUCUUUAAGUGCCGCUACACUCUUAAGGCUGUAGGCCUUGGUCAUUGAAAAAAUUCACAUCUUCAAGUUGGACACCUCUUCGUGGCACUUGAUGGACUCCAUCGACGCUUGGUGGGCAAGCACUUGUGACGCCGGCACGCCAAACCGACAAGCCAAAGCCUUCCUCACCAUGCUUGUGUGGUGUACAAUUUUGAAUGAGCGAAAUGCAAGUGUUUAGGUUUAAAAGCGCUCCACCGACUAUCUUGCUUAACACCAUCUUGACUGAAUCCAACCUUUGGGUCACCGCCGGUGCUAAAAAAUUAGGGUCUUUUAUAUCGCGAGAGUAAUAAUUCAUGUGGUGUUGUGGGUGAAAUCGUAACAAACUCUAUUCUCGCUUAUUUAAUAGACGAGGCAAAGCUUUUGCCUUUGUUUCAAAGAAAAUAAAAAUAAACUAUAGAUCCUUAACCU